rnacentral:lncRNA from 1 species
GGCCUUAGGCAUUAACCUCUCUCUCAGUGCCUCGGGUGCUGGGCGCUUAGUCUGUAAAACAGGUAUCAUCAUAGCAUCUACCUCCUGGGUUCUCAGGGGUUUUGGAGGAGUUAAUAUAUCUAAAGCAUUCAAAACCCGCCAGGCACACAGUGGGUACUUUACUAGUGUUAGUUUUUGUUGUUAUUGUUAACAGCUCCUUUCCCCACCCACGCCCAAGGAAAAACUCUCAAAUAGCUGGCAUGAGUAUGGUCAUCCACCUCAGUAGCCUGCCUGUCUGUGAGGGCCUCCUCCCUCAGUGAGCGGCUUGGUCCUACUCCCCUGGGCUCCUUUCUGCUCCCUUUCCUCCCACUGUUGAGUCUCUCUUCCCUGGGAUUAAUCCACCAACCAUUUCGCCCUCUUCUGUGUUUUAGCUUCAUCCCUACCCACUUUUCUUCUCCCUCUGUUGCUUCCUUCCAUUCCUUUUUUUUUCUGGAGACAGAGUCUGGCGCUAUCUUGGCUCACUGCAACCUCCGCCUCCUGGGUUCAAGCGAUUCUCCUCUCUCUUUCUUCCACCUUUUUGUUUUACCUUAUUCCUCCCGCC